rnacentral:rRNA from 1 species
CCUACGGGUGGCAGCAGUGAGGAAUAUUGGUCAAUGGACGAGAGUCUGAACCAGCCAAGUAGCGUGAAGGAUGACUGCCCUAUGGGUUGUAAACUUCUUUUAUAUGGGAAUAAAAUGUUCCACGUGUGGGAUUUUGUAUGUACCAUAUGAAUAAGGAUCGGCUAACUCCGUGCCAGCAGCCGCGGUAAUACGGAGGAUCCGAGCGUUAUCCGGGUUUAUUGGGUUUAAAGGGAGCGUAGGUGGAUUGUUAAGUCAGUUGUGAAAGUUUGCGGCUCAACCGUAAAAUUGCAGUUGAAACUGGCAGUCUUGAGUACAGUAGAGGUGGGCGGAAUUCGUUGUGUAGCGGUGAAAUGCUUAGAUAUCACGAAGAACUCCGAUUGCGAAGGCAGUUCACUGGACUGCAACUGACACUGAGGCUCGAAAGUGUGGGUAUCAAACAGGAUUAGAUACCCCUGUAGUC